rnacentral:rRNA from 1 species
UACAGAGGGGGCAAGCGUUGUUCGGAAUUACUGGGCGUAAAGGGCGCGUAGGCGGCCUGUUAAGUCGAACGUGAAAUCCCCGGGCUCAACCCGGGAACUGCGUCCGAUACUGGCAGGCUUGAAUUCGGGAGAGGGAUGCGGAAUUCCAGGUGUAGCGGUGAAAUGCGUAGAUAUCUGGAGGAACACCGGUGGCGAAGGCGGCAUCCUGGACCGAGAUUGACGCUGAGGCGCGAAGGUCAGGGGAGCAAACGGG